rnacentral:ncRNA from 1 species
UAAAAGAGCAAAGUAAACGAAAGUUUACGACGCAAAGCCAAAGGUCUAAAAGUAUUGAUACUUAUGAUAGCUAGGUUGC